UACGUAGGGUGCAAGCGUUGUCCGGAAUUAUUGGGCGUAAAGGGCUCGUAGGCGGUCUGUUGCGUCAGGAGUGAAAACUCGGGGCUUAACCCCGAGCCUGCUUCUGAUACGGGCAGACUAGAGGUAUGCAGGGGAGAACGGAAUUCCUGGUGUAGCGGUGAAAUGCGCAGAUAUCAGGAGGAACACCGGUGGCGAAGGCGGUUCUCUGGGAAUGACCUGACGCUGAGGAGCGAAAGUGUGGGGAGCGAACAGG
rnacentral:rRNA from 1 species